rnacentral:rRNA from 1 species
CCUACGGGAGGCAGCAGUGGGGAAUAUUGCACAAUGGGCGAAAGCCUGAUGCAGCGACGCCGCGUGAGGGAUGACGGCCUUCGGGUUGUAAACCUCUUUCAGUAGGGAAGAAGCGAAAGUGACGGUACCUGCAGAAGAAGCGCCGGCUAACUACGUGCCAGCAGCCGCGGUAAUACGUAGGGCGCAAGCGUUGUCCGGAAUUAUUGGGCGUAAAGAGCUCGUAGGUGGCUUGUCGCGUCUGCCGUGAAAACCCGAGGCUCAACCUCGGGCGUGCGGUGGGUACGGGCAGGCUAGAGUGUGGUAGGGGAGACUGGAACUCCUGGUGUAGCGGUGAAAUGCGCAGAUAUCAGGAAGAACACCGAUGGCGAAGGCAGGUCUCUGGGCCAUUACUGACACUGAGGAGCGAAAGCAUGGGUAGCGAACAGGAUUAGA